ACCGGGGUGGCUCAAUCGGUUGAGCGUCUGACUUCAGCUCAGGUCAUGAUCUCAUGGUUCGUGGGUUCGAGCCCCAUGUCAGGCU
rnacentral:tRNA from 1 species